AUUGAACGCUGGCGGCAGGCUUAACACAUGCAAGUCGAACGAGUGGCGGACGGGUGAGUAAUGCUUGGGCAUCUGGCUGAUGGAGGGGGAUAACUGCGGGAACCUGUAGCUAAUACCGCGUACAAUAGGAUGAGCCCAAGUGGGAUUAGGGAGUUGGUGUGGUAACGGCUCACCAAGCCGACGAUCCCUAGCUGGUCUGAGAGGAUGACCAGCCACACUGGAACUGAGACACGGCCCAGACUCCUACGGGAGGCAGCAGUGGGGAAUAUUGCGCAAUGGGGGCAACCUGACGCAGCCAUGCCGCGUGAAUGAAGAAGGCCUUCGGGUUGUAAAGUUCUUUCGGUAGAGAGGCGUUACCUACAGAAGAAGCACCGGCUAACUCCGUGCCAGCCGCCGCGGUAAUAC
rnacentral:rRNA from 1 species